GUGCUUGCUUCGGAUGCGCAUACACUGAAAUCGUAAUGGUACAGAGAUGACUAACAUGGCCCCUGCACAAAAGUGACAGAAAUUCAUGAAGUGUCUGUGAUUUUU